CCCUGGGAAACCAGGAUUAAUACCGGAUGUGGUCACAACGGGACAUCCCGAUGUGAAAAAAGGCGCAAGCCGCUCGAUGACGGGCUCGCGGCCUAUUAGCUUGUUGGUGGGGUAACGGCCUACCAAGGCGAUGAUGGGUAGCUGGUCUGAGAGGACGAUCAGCCACACUGGGACUGAGACACGGCCCAGACUCCUACGGGAGGCAGCAGUUAGGAAUUUUCCGCAAUGGGCGCAAGCCUGACGGAGCAACGCCGCGUGUGUGAUGAAGGCCUUCGGGUUGUAAAGCACUGUCGGAGGGGAAGAACAAAUGACGGUACCCUCCAAGAAAGCCCCGGCUAACUACGUGCCAGCAGCCGCGGUAAUACGUAGGGGGCGAGCGUUAUCCGGAUUUACUGGGCGUAAAGCGCGUUAAGGCGGUUGGCAAAGUUGGGGGUGAAAUUUCAGGGCUCAACCCUGAAACUGCCUCCAAUACUGGUCGACUUGAGUGUGAGAGAGGAAGGUGGAAUUCCCGGUGUAGUAGUGAAAUGCGUAGAUAUCGGGAGGAACACCAGUGGCGAAGGCGGCCUUCUGGCUCACAACUGACGCUGUAGCGCGAAAGCGUGGGGAGCGAACGGGAUUAGAUACCCCGGUAGUCCACGCUGUAAACGAUGUGCACUAGGUGUUGGGCGUAUUGACGCGCUCAGUGCCGCAGCUAACGCAUUAAGUGCACCGCCUGGGGAGUACGGCCGCAAGGUUAAAACUCAAAGGAAUUGACGGAAUCGAAUU
rnacentral:rRNA from 1 species